UGCUUUGGCAGUAAUACCCUAAAAUUGGAACGAUGCAGGGAAGAUUAGUGUGGCCUCUGUGCAAGGAUGAUAUGCAAAUUUGUGAAGUAUUUCAUAUAUAU
rnacentral:snRNA from 1 species